rnacentral:rRNA from 1 species
GCUUGCUUUCUUUGCCGGCGACCGGCGCACGGGUGAGUAACACGUAUCCAACCUGCCCUUUACUCGGGGAUAGCCUUUCGAAAGAAAGAUUAAUACCCGAUGGCAUAAUGAUUCCGCAUGGUUUCAUUAUUAAAGGAUUCCGGUAAAGGAUGGGGAUGCGUUCCAUUAGGUUGUUGGUGGGGUAACGGCCCACCAAGCCUUCGAUGGAUAGGGGUUCUGAGAGGAAGGUCCCCCACAUUGGAACUGAGACACGGUCCAAACUCCUACGGGAGGCAGCAUG